CACGUAGGGUGCGAGCGUUGUCCGGAAUUAUUGGGCGUAAAGAGCUUGUAGGCGGUCUGUCGCGUCUGCUGUGAAAAUCCGGGGCUCAACCCCGGACUUGCAGUGGGUACGGGCAGACUAGAGUGUGGUAGGGGAGACUGGAAUUCCUGGUGUAGCGGUGAAAUGCGCAGAUAUCAGGAGGAACACCGAUGGCGAAGGCAGGUCUCUGGGCCACUACUGACGCU
rnacentral:rRNA from 1 species